rnacentral:lncRNA from 1 species
CCAAAUUUUUGAAGAGGGAUAAGGAUUCAGGGGCGGCGUCACGGGGUAUUAUGAGGCGUUUGGAGAGUGGAAGAGCGGAGCUUGAAGAGGGCGGCUUUGAAAUAGGAGAAAGGGUUGGGUGGAAAUGAAGGCUUUGAAAUAGGAGAAAGGGUUGGGUGGGAAUGAAGGAAGCGUUUUUGGUUGAGUGAAAGCAGAUUUCUGAGAAGGAUUUUCGCCAUCCUUGGGAAUAUUGGUUCAGCGUUUAAGCAGCUGAAGAAGCAGCCCACUUACCGCAGGGCUUCAGCUCACUCACUAUUUACAGCAAAUGGAAAUCAAGGGUUUUUACAAGGGUUAAUUUCUGAUAUUAGUCCCUCUACUCUGCACUUUAAUUUAUCAAUUUUAACAUGCUAUUUUAAUACUGAAAUUUGAAAUUUCAAUCGUAAUCUAAACCG